CAUCCCUCAAUUUUUUAAAUAGAGGUACGCGAGGUUUUCCUAAAUUCUCAUGGGCAUAGAAAAAUCAUGUUUUAGAAUGGGGUUUUUGAAUUAUGAACAUAUUCAUGUUUUUAGAAUGCUUUAAUGACAUUGUUUUGGUCUUUUGGCCUUCCCCAAAAUGAUUUGACAGUUUAUAUGUAUAUGUAUGUAUGUGUUUCAGUUUUGAGAGCAUGAAUUAUGAUGAAUCCCUCUUGUGUUGUGAGCUUUUCUAUUUUCGUAUGAUACGAAUUGUUUUGAAUGCGUUUUGAAAAGCAUGAUAUGAUUUUUUAACACGCAAGAGAGGGUUGUGAAUGUUGAUUAUGCAUAUAAUGAAAGAGUGCACAGAUUUGUCAAAAGCACAUGACCACCAUAUGUUUGAUGAAAGUUUUUGCAUGGUUUUGACUUGAGUUUCGGAACAUGAAAUCUCUUAUGCAAAUUACAUAUUUGGGUGGUCUGAAACUAUAUUUUCAUGAAAGAUCAUGCUUAUGACAUUAUGGAUCAGAAAUAGGACUUGCAAGUCUUGGUGUGACGACACCAACUCAGAUUUUGUCAGAAUAAUUUAGAACAGAUUUAAAUGCAUCUUUGAAAUCAAACUUUCCAGAUGUUGAAACUAUAAACAUGCAUGUUUCAGAACAGGAUAAAAAUUGGGCAUAAAGAGAGCUUAGGUGGUUCUCCGAAGAAGACAUGAGUUCAGACAACUCGUUGCCCAAAACCGUGAUUUGCCGAUCCGGGUUUAUAUAUUACACUGGCCUAGAGCCCUGUGGCGUAUCAGAUUCAGGAACUCCAACCCGCGGCACACUCGGGUUGGAGGCUUUCCUGCCGAGUCAAUGACGGAUUCCAUAUCGCCCGUGGAAUAUCAUACUUGUAGGGGAUACCACCUAACUCAAAAGGAAUACACAAAUCAGAAUUUUAAAUUUACAGACAGG
rnacentral:lncRNA from 1 species